GAUCAUGGCUCAGGACGAACGCUGGCGGCGUGCCUAACACAUGCAAGUCGAACGAAGCUUGACGAAUGAUUUCUUCGGAAUGAAAUCUGAUAUGACUGAGUGGCGGACGGGUGAGUAACGCGUGAGCAACCUGCCCUUCGGAACGGGAUAGUGUCUGGAAACGGACAGUAAUACCGUAUAGCGUAUUUUUACCGCAUGAUAGAAAUACCAAAACUGAGGUGCCGAAGGAUGGGCUCGCGU
rnacentral:rRNA from 1 species